GACAUCCAGAGAACUUAGCAGAGAUGCUUGGUGCCUUCGGGAACUCUGAGACAGGUGCUGCAUGGCUGUCGUCAGCUCGUGUUGUGAAAUGUUGGGUUAAGUCCCGNAACGAGCGCAACCCUUAUCCUUUGUUGCCAGCGGCUCGGCCGGGAACUCAAAGGAGACUGCCGGUGAUAAACCGGAGGAAGGUGGGGAUGACGUCAAGUCAUCGUGGCCCUUACGGCCAGGGCUACACACGUGCUACAAUGGCGCAUACAAGAGAAGCGACCUCGCGAGAGCAAGCGGACCUCAUAAAGUGCGUCGUAGUCCGGAUUGGAGUCUGCAACUCGACUCCAUGAAGUCGGAAUCGCUAGUAAUCGUAGAUCAGAAUGCUACGGUGAAUACGUUCCCGGGCCUUGUACACACCGCCCGUCACACCAUGGGAGUGGGUUGCAAAAGAAGUAGGUAGCUUAACCUUCGGGAGGGCGCUUACCACUUUGUGAUUCAUGACUGGGGUGAAGUCGUAACAAGGUAAGCGUAGCGAG
rnacentral:rRNA from 1 species